rnacentral:rRNA from 1 species
CGCCUCUUGCAUUCUAUGUAUAAGAGGUCCCGCCUGCCCUGUGACUAUGUGUUUAACGGCCGCGGUAUUUUGACCGUGCAAAGGUAGCGCAAUCACUUGUCUUUUAAAUAAAGACCUGUAUGAAUGGCAUGACGAGGGCUUAACUGUCUCCUUCUCCCGGUCAAUGAAAUUGAUCUCCCCGUGCAGAAGCGGGGAUAUUAUUAUAAGACGAGAAGACCCUGUGGAGCUUUAAAUGAUGAGAGAUUUUAUGCAACAAACCUAAAAAGGUAUAAGCGAAUUUAUACUCCCUCUAAUAUUUUUGGUUGGGGCGACCGCGGAGUAAAAAGAAACCUCCGUGAGGAAUGAGGUAAUUAACCUUAAAUCCCAGAACGACAAUUCAAAGAAGCAAAAUUUUUGACCUAAAGAUCCGGCAAAGCCGAUCAACGAACCUAGUUACCCCAGGGAUAACAGCGCAAUCCCCUUCAAGAGUCCCUAUCGACAAGGGGGUUUACGACCUCGAUGUUGGAUCAGGAUAUCCUAAUGGUGUAGCCGCUAU